rnacentral:tRNA from 1 species
UAGGAUGUGGCUCAGAGGUAGGGCUCUUGCCUUUGUGCAUGAGACCCUGGGUUCAAUUCCCAGCAGCCCAA